ACUUGCACCUCCAGAAGCCCCACCCAGGGACUUUUUCUUACAUCUCUUCUGCCCAAAAGACCCCCAAGCACCAUUGCUAGAAGGUCCCUGGGAGAGGAGGUUGAACAGGAUGUGGUCCAGCUCCCAUCGGCACCUGUCACACUUGCCCAGCGUCAUACUGCUAAUGAGUGAGUGUCAGCUCUUAAAUGAAGAGGACUGAACAACCCUACUAGCUUCUCCUCAAUACCAUCCCAGUAAACAUGGCAAGCAGGAUGCUUUGCAUGGACUGUCCAUCGUAUGGGGGAGAAGACAGAGUUCCGCCCACUCACACAACAGGAAGAGAGUGAGGAGGUGGGAGCCAAGAAUUCCUUCAUUUGACUUGGAAAAACUCCAGACAAAAUCAGCACUGCUUUGUCAUUCAUCAGCAGUGAUCAAGUCUGACUCAAGAUCAGAGUUCAAAAACAUUUUUUUUUUCCACACUCAGAUGCAAAGAUGCCCAAAACACAAAAUUGCUGGCCACAGCUGUGGGCCUUUAUAUUCGUGUAUGUAGAUGUAUUAUGAUGUCUGCUGUCCUUUGAGCGGAUUCAUGUUGCAAAUUAAAGACAUUCACGGAGACUGUAAUCUAGGCAAGCUACCCCAACAGGUGGGAAGCUGGAAGGUUAGCUCCUAGAAGGCAAAGGCCAGUGUCCACAGAGCAGGUCAGCGCAUUGGGUCAGCGCACUCGUGCCAGGCUCCGAGAAAGCACUGGCACCUCCUAGGAGCUCUGGGCACCUGCCCCUCCACUUUAUUGUGGGUCCAACUUAAACAACAACAGUAAGACAUCAUAAGGUUCCAUUCUACAAUUCAGUGAGUAUUUGUUGAGUACCUACGGUGUGCCAGGCACUUUCAUAGACACUGGAACACUAAGCCCACACCGUCAUGGGGCUGACAUUCUCAUAGGAGACGAGACAAUAAGCAAAUGAAUCAAUAAGAUGAUCUGGGAUGGUGACACUCUGAGGCGCAGAUGAAACAAACUCAUGGGGAGAGAGGGAAGGAGGACUCCAGAUGGAUUUCAGAUAGGGCUUCAGACAGGCCUGCUAUUGAAAUAGUCGCCAUUUGAACUACUGACACAAGAAGCGGCUGCGGAAGAUCCAGGGGAGAGACCACACAGAAGGCACCGUCAGGUCCCACCUGUGACACGAAAACGGCCAUAGCCUUGAAGCGGAGUGGAUGGGAAACAGGGAGAGUAGAAAGUGCUGGUGGAAGGGCAGGCAGGGCCAAAAUCACGUGGGGCCUUGGAGACCAUGGAAGGGACCCGGACUUCCACGUGGGUGGCAUGAGAAACCAGGAGGGAGCUUUAACCAGGGGUAGAAUGAUCUGAUUAAUGACCAUGGAGAGACUGCCUGCCAGUGCUCUUUGUCAGUGAAGAUUUGCAACCUGUUGCUCAUAUGACACAAGCACCUAAAAGGAACAGACCACACCCCAGCAUGGCUUUCGGAGGAGUAGACGUGUGUGAGUGCGUGUAGCGACCCCAACAGAAAUCUGCCCCCGAGAUGCUGCACUCGAUGCUCCUCAGCUGUGGUCACUGGUGCAAGUUUGGCUGCUGCGAGUAAAAGCUCCCCAGAUGCAGUGACUCAAGAUAAACGUUUAUUUCUCUGGAUGACCCAGAACUAAUAUGGCACCUCAGUGGUGUGAGAGACACAGCCACUCUCUCUGCCAACCCCAACAUGCAGCUUCCUUCUCAGUGGCUGUUGACAGUUGCCAUCCUAGCGUUGCCACCACAUCUACAUUUCAGCCAGAGGAAGGGGGGAUGGGCAAAGGUGAGAGAGAACACUCUUUCCUCUUAGACUCACCACCUGGAAGUCGCAUACAUCAUCUCCACUCAAUUCCCACUGACCAGAACCUAUGCGCAUGGCCACACCUAGUUGCAGGGGAAUCUGGGAAAAGCAUUUUUAACUGGGCAAUCUUGUGCUGAGGUAACACUGUUCGUAUUAUAAAAGGGUAUUGGAGGGAUAAUUCUGGUUUCGGCCGUAGCUGCCACCCAGGACAAAAGCAGCUGGAAUUGCCCCCAGCUCUUGGAGAACUGGCUUUAGAAGUCUGUUCCUAGAGGACCAAUUAAUAAAACAAAUAACAAUCAUAAAUAAUUAAUAAAAAUAACUAAGUAAUUGAGACAUCACCAUAUAUUGAUAAUUCUUCGUUGAACAAUCCUAGCU